ACACUGGUAGCUCAGUCGUAAGAGCAUUUGACCAGCAAUAAGAAGGUGCCAGGCUCAAAACCCUGCUGGAGUU